UGAGGAAUAUUGGUCAAUGGGGGCAACCCUGAACCAGCCAAGUCGCGUGAAGGAUGAAGGUCUUAUGGAUUGUAAACUUCUUUUAUACAGGAAUAAAUUGGGGGACGUGUCCCCUUUUGCAUGUACUGUAUGAAUAAGGAUCGGCUAACUCCGUGCCAGCAGCCGCGGUAAUACGGAGGAUCCGAGCGUUAUCCGGAUUUAUUGGGUUUAAAGGGUGCGCAGGCGGGAUGUUAAGUCGGCGGUGAAAUUUUGCAGCUCAACUGUAAAAGUGCCUUCGAUACUGGCUUCCUUGAGUGUAGAUGAAGUAGGCGGAAUUUGUGGUGUAGCGGUGAAAUGCUUAGAUAUCACGAAGAACUCCGAUUGCGAAGGCAGCUUACCGGGGUACAACUGACGCUGAUGCACGAAAGUGUGGGUAUCAAACA
rnacentral:rRNA from 1 species